UUUCCCUCAGGAUAGCUGGCAUUCAAUUUUCACAGUUAUAUCCGGUAAAGCGAAUGUUUAGAGGCAUUGGGCGUAAAAUACGCUCAACCUAUUGACAAACUUUAAAUGGGUAUGGUUAUGUUUUGUAACAUCGCUUAGUAUUGGUAAAGAUUUAGAAUUGUCUUAGGUGCAUAUCGAAACCCCUUGUUUCUGACUUCGUCAACAAGAUAUAUCGUGAAAUGGAGGCCA
rnacentral:rRNA from 1 species